GCUUUGUUGAUUCCUUUGCAUCAGUGCUUUUGAAGAAACUGUUUCCUACUUAUCAUCUUCCUAUUUAGUUUGCGUUAAAGUUUCUGUGACAUGGAGAGAAAUGAGAAGACAAGUCUGAUUAAUCAAAUCUUCUCUCAACUAUAUUCUCAACAAAGAUAUCAACAAGGAAGAGAUUAGGUCGAUACUCGAUACCAGGCAUGUUUUGU